AGAGUUUGAUCAUGGCUCAGAUUGAGCGCUGGCGGCAGGCCUAACACAUGCAAGUCGAGCGGAAACGAGUUAUCUGAACCUUCGGGGAACGAUAACGGCGUCGAGCGGCGGACGGGUGAGUAAUGCCUAGGAAAUCGCCUUGAUGUGGGGGAUAACCAUUGGAAACGAUGGCUAAUACCGCAUAAUGCCUACGGGCCAAAGAGGGGGACCUUCGGGCCUCUCGCGUCAAGAUAUGCCUAGGUGGGAUUAGCUAGUUGGUGAGGUAAUGGCUCACCAAGGCGACGAUCCCUAGCUGGUCUGAGAGGAUGAUCAGCCACACUGGAACUGAGACACGGUCCAGACUCCUACGGGAGGCAGCAGUGGGGAAUAUUGCACAAUGGGCGAAAGCCUGAUGCAGCCAUGCCGCGUGUAUGAAGAAGGCCUUCGGGUUGUAAAGUACUUUCAGUUGUGAGGAAGGGGGUGUCGUUAAUAGCGGCAUCUCUUGACGUUAGCAACAGAAGAAGCACCGGCUAACUCCGUGCCAGCAGCCGCGGUAAUACGGAGGGUGCGAGCGUUAAUCGGAAUUACUGGGUGUAAAGCGCAUACAGGUGGUUCAUUAAGUCAGAUGUGAAAGCCCGGGGCUCAACCUCGGAACUGCAUUUGAAACUGAUGAACUAGAGUACUGUANAGGGGGGUAGAA
rnacentral:rRNA from 1 species